CCUACGGGAGGCUGCAGUGGGGAAUAUUGCACAAUGGGGGAAACCCUGCUGCAGCGACGCCGCGUGAGUGAAGAAGUAUCUCGGUACGUAAAGCUCUAUCAGCAGGGAAGAAAAUGACGGUACCUGACUAAGAAGCCCCGGCUAACUACGUGCCAGCAGCCGCGGUAAGACGUAGGGGGCCAGCGUUAUCCGGAUUUACUGGGUGGAAAGGGAGCGUAGACGGCAGCACAAGUCUGGAGUGAAAUCCCGGGGCUUAACCCCAGAACGGCUUUGGAAAAUGUGCGGCUGGAGUGCAGGAGGGGUAAGCGGAAUUCCUAGUGUAGCGGUGAAAUGCGUAGAGAUUAGGAGGAACACCGGUGGCGAAGGCGGCUUACUGGACUGUAACUGACGUUGAGGCUCGAAAGCGUGGGGAGCAAACAGGAUUAGAUACCCCAGUAGUC
rnacentral:rRNA from 1 species